rnacentral:tRNA from 1 species
GUAGAUGUAGUUUUAAUUAAAACGCCAGAUUGUGAUUCUGGAGUUGGGGGCUGAUUUCCCCCCAUCCACC